AUGAAGGUGCACCUGGAGUCUUGGGGGCUCUGGGACGCGAUCCAAGGCAACGCACAACACGUGCGCGACGACAAGACGGCGCUCGGCGUUCUGUUCCGAGCCGUUCCCCCGGAGAUGCUCGGCGUCCUCGUCGUCAAGGAGACGGCGAAGGAGGCCUGGGAGACCAUCAAGGUCAUGCGCAUGGGGGUGCACCGGGUGCGCGAGGCGACCGCGCAACGACUGCGCGCGGAGUUCGAGCAGAUCACCUUCCGCGACGGCGAGACUCUCGACUCCUUCGGCAUGCGGAUCACCUCCCUAGUCAACCAGUUGCGUACGCUGGGGGACAACGUCGACGAGGUGCGCGUGAUCCAGAAGAUCCUUCGUGUCGUCCCUGCCCGCUACGCCCAGAUCGCAGUAGCGAUCGAGACGCUCCUUGACCUGACCACAAUCUCGAUCGAGGAGCUGAUCGGUCGACUGCGCACCACAGAGGAGCGCUGUGGUGGCGGGGCGGCUCAGGCCAGCGGAGGCUGCCAGCUGCUCAUGACGGAGCAGCAGUGGGACGCGCGGCGCCGGGAGCGCGAGCAGGGCCAGGGGUCCGGCUCGAACGGCGCCGGCAACGGGAACGGCAACGGGGGCGGCGACAAUCGCCGCCGUGGCAAGCCGCAGAACCAGAGGCGCGGCAACGACGCUCAAGGCCAAGGCGGCGGCAGCGGCCGCGACAACACCGGCAACGGCGGGCGCGACAUGUCUAAGGUGAAGUGUUACAAUUGCAAUAAAAAUGGCCACUUCUCCCGUGAUUGCACCGAGCCCCGGCGGGAACGAAAGGGGGAGGCUCACCUGGCGCAAGGUGGGGCUGAGGAGAGCUCGCUCCUGCUCGCGACGGCGGACGUGAGCACCACGGCCGAACCCACGCCAGAGCACGUACUGCUCAACGAAGAGCACUCCCAGGCGCGCGCAGCGGCAGACGGCCAGUCCUGCGACCUCGCCUGGUACCUCGACACGGGUGCGAGCAACCACAUGUCGGGCCGGCGAGAGAUCUUCUCGGCGCUGGACACCGGCGUCCGCGGCGCUGUGAAACUUGGGGACGGCUCGGCGGUCCAGAUCGAGGGGAGAGGGACGAUCCUCUUCCAAUGCCGCAACGGUGAGCACUUGGUACUGUCAGAUGUGUAUUACAUCCCAAAGCUCUGCAGCAACAUCGUCAGCAUCGGACAGUUGGACGAGCUCGCUUACGAGACCCACAUAAGCUUCGGCGUGCUCCAACUCCGUGAUCCGGGUGGGCGUCUCCUCGCGCGGGUGCAUCGGAACAAGGGGAGGCUGUACGUGCUGUAG
rnacentral:rRNA from 1 species